rnacentral:rRNA from 1 species
AGUGAACGCUGGCGGUAGGCCUAACACAUGCAAGUCGAACGGCAGCACAGUAAGAGCUUGCUCUUACGGGUGGCGAGUGGCGGACGGGUGAGGAAUACAUCGGAAUCUACUUUUUCUUGGGUGAUAACGUAGGGAAACUUACGCUAAUACCGCAUACGACCUACGGGUGAAAGCAGGGGAUCUUCGGACCUUGCGCGAUUGAAUGAGCCGAUUUCGGAUUAGCUAGUUGGCGGGGUAAAGGCCCACCAAGGCGACGAUCCGUAGCUGGUCUGAGAGGAUGAUCAGCCACACUGGAACUGAGACACGGUCCAGACUCCUACGGGAGGCAGCAGUGGGGAAUAUUGGACAAUGGGCGCAAGCCUGAUCCAGCCAUACCGCGUGGGUGAAGAAGGCCUUCGGGUUGUAAAGCCCUUUUGUUGGGAAAGAAAAGCAGCAGGUUAAUACCCCGCUGUUCUGACGGUACCCAAAGAAUAAGCACCGGCUAACUUCGUG